rnacentral:pre_miRNA from 1 species
CAAAUACUCCCUCCGUCCGGAAAUACUUGUCAUCAAAAUGGAUAAAAGGAAAUGUAUCUAGACGUAUUNNNNNUUUAGAUACAUCUCUUUUUAUCCAUUUUGAUGACAAGUAUUUUCGGACGGAGGGAGUAGAAA